UGAGUGGUUGCGUGUUUUGACAAAAUUUCCUAUUUUGCUGAGCAGUCGGUACGGUACAGCUGAUUAAAAAUUCUAGCAAGCUCAAUUACAUGAUGGUCUAAUUCUAUUCAACAUAAAAAGGGAGAAUAAUCGAUUGAAAUACUUAUUAACAAAGAGAGAGAAAGUUCUGUUUCUCUAUCCACAGCUCAUUCAUCGAUAAUCUUUAGUCCAUUCCCUUAUAUCUGAAUUUUGUCGUGAAUAAUUUUCUAAAGCUAACCUUCUGAUAUCCGAGAUGAAAAAUAUAUGCUUACAUUCUAGCCUAAAGAAAGGAAUAUUCAGUGAUUAUUGCUAAAUUAUGUUACUUCUAGCAACAAUUAGUACACAUUAGGGAAUUUUGGUCAAAACAGUGGAUUAUUAUUUUGAACAAAUCAAUACAGCCAAAGAAUUUAGGAAUGGAGUAUUAUUUCAAUAUGGCGACAAGAAAUUACAAUGUUUAGAAGAGGAUUCCCGACUGGAAUUGAGAAUUGUAAUGGCAUUCAGAUAUUCCAAUAGAUCUAUCAUUAUGGAACUCUUUACUUGUUAUUAUAAAAGUAUUCGACGAUUACGUAGAUCUGGAGGAUUGUAUAUAUUCUAGAGUAUAGAUACACUGAUUGAUGAAGUAUUGAUGAAACUUGUGUUUAUUUUUGGCAUGUUAAACAACCCCGCAAAUGAACAAGAUAAGCUACAAUCAGCUGCAACCAGCAAACAGGGAGAGAAGGAAAUAAGCAAGAACAAUGGCAAGAAUGACUUUAAUGUCGAUCCUCAAUUCUACUCGGAGUCCAACGAAAACCUAAAUUUAUAACUCUGGAACAAAUUCUCAUUGUACUGUUCCAUGUUUUAUGAGGAAACACGAAUGUUCAAUCAGGUUUUGAAUAUUAUUGAAUUCAAUAGGAAAAAAAGUUCACUACUCAUGAGCAAAAUAAUAAAGACAACGGCCGCCUGACGAAAAUUUAUUCUUCAUUUUACCGAUUCCUAAAAAAGAGUGAAAAACUAAAAAAAGACACACAAUUUACAUUACUAGAGAUGAGAUCCACCGUGUGAGGCACAGAUAAGCGAAAUCCCGUAGAGAUAAACAUGAAUUCAAAUAAAGUAUCAGAAGUCAUGCAGAUUGGAUAUCAUCCAAAUACCUAAAAUAUAAACAUCUAGGAUAGGAAAGGAUGGGUGGAUGAUGAUCCAUAUAUUCGAAUGCUUUGUGUUUACAAUCCUUCCAAAUCACCAUGAAUUACUUUAUACUUUAAACUCAGUUCAUCAUUAAUAUUUGAAUAAUAACUAAUAACUCAAUUAGUAGUUAUUUAAUGAUAAUUAUAGCUAUUAUAUAAAGUCAGCGAUAGUAUGACUUAUUCGUAUUCGAACUCAAACAUUAACAGUUGACAUAGCACUCGAACAACAUUUUAAUUAGGGAUUGGCAUCGAGUGAGUGCGAGUAAAACACGGGAGCGACACAUAUGGUUCUAUUGAUUAAAGUUAUGGUUUUGGAGGAAAGAAUAUAACGUGAUUCUGCUAUAGAAAUGAUAAUCUUCUAUAUUUCAAGUAACACUAGAACAGUUCAUAUAAAAAGUAGUCGAAAUUUUCAAAUUCAUGAAUAUUUUAUUUACUUCGUAAAACUCAUAGAAAAAAACUUUCAUAUUUCUAUAGUAUAGAUCUAUUAAAAUUGAGAUCUCUUAAAUUUCUUCCCUUAAAGUCGCUAGUAUGAUAUGUUAUACAAUGAGUAAUCAAAAACUAAUGGCCAACACUUUAGCCGUACCAGUAAAAUAAUAGUAAAUUGAUAAUUCAAAGUUUUAUAAAGUAUAUUGGUGAUAUCAAGUGAAAAAAGUAUGGGUAAAAUUAAAAAAAAACUGAAAAAACAAUUAACUAUUACAAAAAGUAUUAAUUAAAAAAUGAAAAGAGCAUCAGAAGGCAUAUUGCUACGAUAUCUGAAUGGAAAAAUAUGAACUGUGAUGGAAAAUGUAUCGAUGGAAAUCCAAUUAAAUGUAAUCCAGGCGGAGGGAAAACUUUUUAAAGGCAUUUGACUAAUAGUAAUAUUAAUAUUAUACUAAGGUAAGCGGCUAACUAUAGUCUUUUUUAGAGUAGAUGUUAUACAAGAAUUCUUAAUAAAUAAUGAA
rnacentral:lncRNA from 1 species